rnacentral:lncRNA from 1 species
AAAAUUUUAAUAUUCGAUGAUCUCCAUAAUCUUAUUCAAUUUAAGUAAUCUUAUUCAAUCACAUUAACAUGCCUCUCAAAUUAAUGUUGGUAAAAGUAUCAAUUUACAAUCAUGAACGAACGACAAUGACAAUACUCGUGCCCAUGAAGAAGAGACCCAAAUCACAGCAGAAACAACCAAGAACCACUCCAAGAACACUUCAAAGAGCUCAUAUCCCAAGAAGAAUUUUCAAAAUAAAUUCACAAAGUGUACCGACCUCACACAAUGAGCUCUAUCAGUCGAACAUAGAAUUUGCAUUCCAACGAAAGCUCUAACGAUCAAUUCACCGAUGAAAAGUUCAGCAAUAUAUUGCUGACCAAGAUGCUGCAGUUGGAAGAAAUCCAACCGAACAACCUACACCAAAAACUCAAAGAUCAUCCCUCCACUAGGAAUCCAAAACCACUCAAGGUUGACCUCUCAUGAGAAUCUAAAUCUUUAGCUCAUCAUUUAGCAUCAAUUUGUUUACAUGAAACUGAUGUAAAAAAGAACUCAAAGGUCCAACUCCAAUGGGCAAACCCCAAAAAUAACCUCACACACAUGCUACAGUCCAUCCUUCUUCUACUAUUCAUUAAGACCUCCAACAACAGCCGAAUAUACCAAAUCAACCCAUUACCAGGCCCAAAUACUAAAUCUGAAAGUUAAAAUCUCCAGCAACAGUCUAAUAUACCAAAUUGAACCAUAAUAAGGCCCAAACACCAAAUCCAAUAGUACUAAAACCAUGAACCUACACAUAACUACAAACUCGACAUAAAUUACAUCAUCUCCAUCUCCCAAACGCUAAACCAUUGUCGCUAUGGGUUUUUCUCCACGCCAACAAUGCCUCAUCCAAUCGGCAACCUAAUCUCUUUGUCUCUGGCAUUGCCUCCAUCCAGGCUCGGCUUGGCAGUAUCUUGAGAAUUUCCCUUCUCUCUAUUUCUUUGUCCCUUCUCUCUAUUUCUUUGCAAUUUUUGAACCCUUUUCAUAUUAGGGUAAUUUUGAGAUUCAUUUAUCUAUGCUUGCUUUGAAACUAGACCAAGUGAUUGAAGGCAUCAGAAGUGCAUAGUAGAUUCAAGGGAAUGGCGCCAAGAGAGCCGUUGCUGCGGUAAAUUAGUUGAAGAGCUUAGCAGCUUCGAUAGAGAUAUCGCCUUUACCGACACCGACCGUGCCGACAUCUUCAUCUGCUUGUUAUGUUAUUUUAUCUAUAUCAGUCUAUUGAUCGCAGAGUAAUUUAGGGCUUUAGGGUUUAAAGAAAAUGCGCCAUUGGAGAACUAAAGAGUACUCUUUCUCUUCUCUCCGUCUAUUUCAAUUUUGAUAAAUGGGAGUGAAAGAGGACGAUUUUGCUUUUCUGAACGAUUUACAAUAAUGGAGGUUGAAAGUCUCAAUAUGUUGAAACGUGAACAAGAAAAAGAAACCAUUAACUCAAUUCGACGAAGACCAAGCGGAAGGAGCAAAACCUCAUCUUGCUGUGAGAAAACCGAACCAAGAAAACGAGAAAAAAUUCUAAGAAAGAGGCUCUAAUACCAUGUCAAGUAUGAUAUUCAAUAAGACUUGAUGCCUCACAAUGUGAAAUGUUCUCAUUGUAUAGAACCAAAUCAUAACUAAAUAUGGUAAAAAUAAUCUAUCUAUUUGUCAUAAUCUUCGACUAUUUCCAUAAUCUUAUUCAAUCUCCACAAUCUUCAAUCUCAUUAACACUUUGAGACUAGUUUACUUAGGAUCAUGUUACAUAUUUCCCGCACCAUUACUUCUACAACUUAAGUUCUUCUAGAAGUCUUUGUACUAGUGAAUUAUAGUUCCUAUUUGGUGCAAAUUAAAAUAAAGAUUUUAAUUUAAGUCAAAGUCAAUAACUAAUUUUAACUGCACCUUUAUGGGAUCCACAACUUUACAACCAUACAUUUCAACAAUUUUUAUCAAAAUCUACUAAAAAACUAAUUUUAAUCCCCACCAAACGUGGGCAUAAUUUAUUUAUCAAUAUGGGAUCAACUUACAAUGUCUCAUUACUAUUUCAUUUUAAUCCCCACCAAACGUGGGCAUAAUUUAUUUAUCAAUAUGGGGUCAACUUACAAUGUCUCAUUAUUAUUUCAUUGCAGUUCAUUGCUUCUUUCUAUCAACACAUCGUGGUUCAGAGAUGAGUAUCUCUUUCUCUCUCUCUCUCUAGUGUGCAUGAGCCUACAUGCAUUCCCAUCUACGGUAUAAAUAUGCAUACAAGAAUGCACAAAAGAAUAUAUAUUGAAGAUAGGGACAUAUGGUUGUUUGAAAAACUGAUAUAAUGGGGAAAGAUUGUACUAAAAUCAACAUUACUGACAAAUAUUAACUUCUGUGGACCUAGGUGAAAAGUCCACUUGAAGAAAAUGAAAUGGUUGGAAUCACUAAUUACAUUGACUUUGGCUUUGAGUUACAGACAAGGUAUUUUCAUAUGUUAAAUAUCGCAUACAUUGAUAUCAUAUAAAGUGGUGGAAUCCGACUUCAUUUUAUACUUUUCGUGAAGUAUUGACGAUGAAAAGUCAUUAAAUAAUAUUCAAGAGUCCACUUUUCAAGUGGCUGCAUCUUGGCAAGCCAAUAAAAACUUCUUACUGAAGGUAACACAAUUUUGAUAAUGUUUCUAAUCAUUUAGUUUGUGAUAGUAUUAUUUGUGAAGCAAUUAAGUUUAAGACAUCAAUGUGUCAAUUUUGCAGGGAAAUUCAUCAAUAGCUUUAGCAUUUAAAUCAUGGUGGAAACCUUCUUUCAUUUUCAGCAUGUCAGGUAUCUGAUAUGUGUGUCCCCUCGUUCUUAAGAGAUUUAGCUACAAAAUUCUAUGCCUCAAAAUUCGCUGUAUAAUAUCGAGCAUUUUAUAAUAGCUUGUUGUUUAAUCUUCAAAUAUUGCUCAUUAGUAGUAAACUUGCAC